CAAAAUAAACCAAACCAAACCAAACUUUAAGUGUUACACCUUGUUGAUAUAGAAGGAGUAGGGGCUAAUAUUAUUUCCUAUGAAUACUAACCUGAUAUAGAUGUCUGGUUAGAUUAACCCUAUCCAACACUGACCAGUUACUGGUAUUGAAUUUGCUUGCCUCUAGUACUUACAUUUGGUUCGAGUCUGCUGAUAGUCGAUGUGCUGUAUAUUGUAGGAAAGAUUGUGUGACCUUUGUUAUCUCCCCUUAAGUCAAUAGAUUUUAAGAAAGUUUCAUGUUAUUAAAAAAUGUUUGCAUUGUGAAUUGUUGACAAAAAAUAUUUUUGAAAAUGAAUGAAUGGCAGUUAUUGAAACUUGUUACAGGCAAUAAAAUGAACUGUGAUUAGUGUGUAUAAAAUUGUAUAACAUAUAUAAAUCUUGUAUAACAUAUUCAACUUCAAAUGUCCUUCUCUUUGCUCCAGUUGACACAUAAAUAAAAUAUUUUAUUAAUUACCCUGUAAUUUAAGUGCUAACUCUCUUGAAAAAAUAUGUACGUGGACAUUUUAUACCAAUAUUACGUUAAAAGAAACCGAACUAUGGUAACUGGCAAAUAUUGUUUCGUUUAAAAAAGAAGAAAAAAAAGACACGUUCAACAGCAACAAAACAACUUUACAAUUAAUUAAUUUUUAAUUGAUUGCUAAUAUGGGCUGAUAUUGCCCAAUGAAAUAAAUUCCAUUGAUCCUAGAAAUUUAUAAAUUAUUUUUUAUUUUAAUUUGUAUUAUUUACUGACAAAAGAGGGCAGAGAAAUAUAAAUAAUAUAACUGUUGGGGUCAAUUUUAUUCGCCUGAAAUUGUUUAUUGCCAGAUUGGUUUCCUCAAACUCAUGAGCUGUUUUAACUAACGGCCCAUAUAUAUGUGUAUCAAUACUUUUCAUCUAUUUGUUCAUGAUGUUCGUUACAUUUACAUACUAUAGAAGUGGACUUUUUCUGGUGGUGAUUUUUGCUGAGUUCUUGUUUGUUUACAAAAUGCACCAUGACAGAUGUGAGUAUCAGACACAAUGAUAUGUGUGAUGUACACAUACCUGGUACAUGGAUAUUGAAACACUUAACACUGCAAGUAUUUUAUUCUAAAUUUGAAAAUGCAGUUAUAUACACACGAUAUAGCAUGCAUUUAUAUGACAUAAAUAUAGGAUCUUGCAUGAGUGAUCAUGAUGUCAUGUGGAAUGCAUUAAGUGAGUUCAAUAAUUUAAAAUGCUGUGAGCAAUGUCAUGUCAAAUUUUUUGAACAAGUAUAAUGAAUUCCAUAUGAUGUAAUCAUGAAUGUAAGAUCCUGUUUAUCACAUAACUCAUAUUUAUAAGAAAGCAGGUAAAAGCUCAAAUUCAUUUCUUUAUAAGAUAGGUGAAUUUCAGCUUGGGCAGUACGGUUUCUCUACAGAAACAAUCGAGUGAUGUCAUAUUUAUUGUGAUGUCAUGAAUUAUUUAUGUUGUCACAAUAGCGUUAUUACAAGCGUCAUACAAUAUAUUUAUGACAUAGCCAUAUUAUAUUGCAGAACUGGCGCAUUAUGUGAUAACUGUAUGUAUUGAAACACUACAGCACAUGUUGAGCAACCAACCCCCUCCCCAGUAUGCUAACAAACUUUUGACAACUCUUAGAAGCAACCCUCCAAAACGCAAAAAUAUCCACACAGAAAUAUGUCCACUUUUGCAGUAAUAUCUAUGUUAACUACAAAAGCAGUUUUGUGAUAAUCGCUAGAUGUGUAUACAUGUAUAGGGCAGCGAUUGUCUACGUGUGUUUGGUGACCUUGGGACCAGGCUGUGGAAUCGAGUAUCCACCUAUCUAUCACAGCCAAACGUCUUUCACAAUCACCAGACCUUUUCUUCUCAUUAGAUGAUCUGUGUGCUGAUUUCAGAAUCUGGAAUAUUAUUUAAUUUAGUUUGAUGGGGUCACAGUUUAUAAUUAUUAUUUUUUCUUUUUUUUUGCUACUUUUGAACAUGGCAUUACAAAGUCUGAGUUUUUAACAUUAAUUCAGAUACAAGGAAAAUAGUUUGAAAGUGAGGUUUUUUGUAUGGGCUAUUCCAGAAUUAUCUUUUUAUAAGAAAAUUACUAAUGAAAAUGACAUCAACUGACGACUUACACAAGUUAUUGUAAGGAGCAAGCUAGUGUCAAUGCUUGUAGAAGUUAAGAUAUUCCAUAUCAGUAAAAAGUACUUUAUUUUCCUUCUGACUUGUCAUUUGCCUACACUAAACUUUGUCAAUGUUGCCUCGCUUUCGUUUGAUAUUCAUCGUCACUCUGCUAGAUAAAGUUUGUAGGUCGGGCUAAUUCAGGCAAACAUUUUCAUGGUCAAGCUGGACAAUAGACUGCCCAUUAACGUUGGAGAAAGUAUCAAUGGACAACUGUAUGUGUGAAAAUUGACAGUUUUUUUAUGAUAUUUACAUAGGAAUUGAUUUCAAUUUGCCAUCACAACAAAAUUAUGCCAACUGAGGAGCUCCACAAGAGACAAAUAUGUCUGGUUCAGUGUGUUUAACCAGAAAGAAAGCAGAUAGUGUUUGGGAAUGAUGCAAAUAUCUCGAAAGGUUGGUACAUAGAGCUGAUCUCUGAAACUGAACAGUGGAUAACCACUAAACUGGACCAAUAAAUUCAUUGUAGUUGGUCAUAAAUAAUGAGAAUUUUAAACUGUUUUCAUGUGGAAUAAUAUAGAACAUAGGGGAAAGGUCAGCCAGCCAUAAAUUAAAUCAUCAUGUUAUGGUAGAAGUCUUCAACAUCCUGUAAAUAUAUUUUCUUUUUAAAAAAAAACCAACAUUUCUUGAUUAAUUCUGGAAUAGCUUUGUAUGAAAAUCCUAUAUUUUAUGAAACAGUUAUGUUAUAGUCAUCACGCUGUAUAUUUCAAAAUGAUUGUGUCCACCAUAUCCAUCUUAAUUUUUUUUUUUUUUGAUGAAAAUGAACAAUAGUUAAGUUAUUUAUGGUUUUUCGUUGGGUUUUAAAAUUAAUAAUAUUAGUUUGUGAAAUGAAAUUUGUAUUGUGUGUGAAACGUUUCUUCCAGAGCUGGACUCCCCAUUUAUCAUCACAUAUCAUGACAAAACUAUUUUUAACCUGCUCUUGAACUUCUCUGUUUUCUAUAUAUCAAGAUGUCAAAUUGUUUUUUCAAAGAGGUAUUUUUGUAAAAUUAUAAGACUUAUGUUUCUUGAAUGUGGUGAUACUCUACCCGGAGUAACAGGUCGUAACACGAGUAACGUUUCCAUAGGGAUGUAGUGAUACUCUACCCGGAGUAACAGGUCGUAACACGAGCAUCGUUUUCCAUAGGGAUGUAGUGAUACUCUACCCGGAGUAACAGGUCGUAACACGAGUAUCGUUUCCAUAGGGAUGUAGUGAUACUCUACCCGGAGUAACAGGUCGUAACACGAGUAUCGUUUCCAUAGGGAUGUAGUGAUACUCUACCCGGAGUAACAGGUCGUAACACGAGUAACGUUUUCCAUAGGGAUGUAGUGAUACUCUACCCGGAGUAACAGGUCGUAACACGAGUAACGUUUCCAUAGGGAUGAAGUGAUACUCUACCCGGAGUAACAGGUCAUAACACGAGUAACGUUUCCAUAGGGAUGUAGUGAUACUCUACCCGGAGUAACAGGUCGUAACACGAGUAACGUUUCAAUAAGGAUGAAGUGGUGAUUACAAGGCUGAGGUAGCCGAGAUGCAUACUGUUAACAUUGACACCAUAUAGAGGUUUCUACACACUGCAGCCAUGUUGAAUGUCUCGGUAUCUACACUGCAACACUUACAAUCAGAUGAAAGUAUUUUUGCAUUUGAAAUGACAACAAAGAUCAUGAUGAAUCUAAUUUUGGAAAAUUAAAAAAAAAAAGUAUUAAUGCAGAAACUGCCUGGUUUAGUUUAAACUAGAAAAAAUGUUUUACUUUCUCGUAAACUAGAUUUAAUCUAAGUGAUGUUUUGGAAUGUACCAUCAAUGAUGUUGGAACAAAUUAAUUGGGAGAGGAGUUUAUAAGCUAAACACACCUUAAGCUCCAGGACCGACAUUCUACACGCCUGCUGGCAUGGUGUCUUUACAUGUACCGUAUCACGAGCUAAUAUAGACAGGGGGGUGCUAUUGCUGGCGAUUGUUUAUAUGGGAAUGGAAGUGUUUAAAUGUCCAGUGUUUGAGGUGAGAGUGAGUGUGUGUUUUAUGUUAUAUUGUUGUCUCAUUCUAAAUGAACAAGGAAAUAUACUUUCCAAGAGGCCUUUAGGGUGGUAACAUACAAACUGUAUUAUGAUGUAAUUUAUCACCAAACAAAAUGCCAUGCAGUUUUGCCAAAAAUGAAAUUACAAAUAUAAUAAAUAAAUUUGAGAGAAAAA